AACGAACGCUGGCGGCAUGCCUAACACAUGCAAGUCGAACGAGACCUUCGGGUCUAGUGGCGCACGGGUGCGUAACGCGUGGGAACCUGCCCUUAGGUUCGGAAUAACUCCCCGAAAGGGGUGCUAAUACCGGAUAAUGUCUUCGGACCAAAGAUUUAUCGCCUUUGGAUGGGCCCGCGUUGGAUUAGCUAGUUGGUAGGGUAAAAGCCUACCAAGGCGACGUUCCAUGGCUGGUCGGAGAGGAUGAUCAGCCACACUGGGACUGAGACACGGCCCAGACUCCUACGGGAGGCAGCAGUGGGGAAUAUUGGACAAGGGGCGAAAGCCUGAUCCAGCAAUGCCGCGUGAGUGAGGAAGGCCUUAGGGUUGUAAAGCUCUUUUACCCGGGAUGAUAAUGACAGUACCGGGAGAAUAAGCUCCGGCUAACUCCGUG
rnacentral:rRNA from 1 species